GCUGUGGUGGUGUAGUGGUAGCACACCUGGUGAAGUUUGGGCACGUGGUCUCUUUACAUGUGGUCCCGAUAAACCAGGAGGUCGCGGAUUCGAUUCCCGCCCACGGUG
rnacentral:tRNA from 1 species